AAUGAACGUUGGCGGCAUGGAUUAGGCAUGCAAGUCGAGCGAGAACCGGUUUCGGCCGGGGACAGCGGCGAACGGCGUAGUAAUGCAUCGGAACGUACCCUCUGGUCGGGGAUAGCUACGGGAAACUGUAGGUAAUACCCGAUGAUCUCUGCGGAGCAAAGGUGAGAUUCCGCCGGAGGAGCGGCUGAUGUGAUAUUAGCUAGUUGGUGGGGUAAUGGCCUACCAAGGCGAUGAUGUCUAGGGGGUGUGAGAGCAUGGCCCCCACGACCGGAACUGAGAUACUGUCCGGACACCUACGGGUGGCUGCAGUCGAGAAUCUUCCGCAAUGGACGAAAGUCUGACGGAGCGACGCCGCGUGCGGGAUGAAGGCCCUUGGGUUGUAAACCGCUGUCAGAGGGGAUGAAAUCUUCGGAGGUACUCCUCCGAAGUUGACAGAGCCUCAAAGGAAGCACGGGCUAAGUACGUGCCAGCCGCCGCCGUAACAC
rnacentral:rRNA from 1 species